rnacentral:rRNA from 1 species
AGUAAAAGUCGUAACAAGGUCUCCGUAGGUGAACCUGCGGAGGGAUCAUUACUGAGUGAGGGCCCUCGUGGUCCGACCUCCAACCCAUUGUUGUCCGACUCUGUUGCCUCGGGGGCGACCCGGCGCUUCGGCGCCAGGGGGUCCCCGCUGGUCCACACAACUCUGCAUCUUUGCGUCUGAGUAAACAUUAAAUGAAACAAAACUUUCAACAACGGAUCUCUUGGUUCUGGCAUCGAUGAAGAACGCAGCGAAAUGCGAUAAGUAAUGUGAAUUGCAGAAUUCAGUGAAUCAUCGAAUCUUUGAACGCACAUUGCGCCCCCUGGCAUUCCGGGGGGCAUGCCUGUUCGAGCGUCAUUACACCACUCAAGCCUGGCUUGGUAUUGGAGGUCGCGGUCCGCCGCGCCUCCUAAUGUCGCCGGCCGAGUCGUCUGUCUCCGAGCGUUGUGAAUCUUCAAUUCGCUUUCGAGUACGGACGGCGCGCGCCGUUAAACCUCUUUUUCAGGUUGACCUCGGAUCAGGUAGGGAUACCCGCCGAACUUAAGCAUAUCAAUAAGCGGAGGAAAAGAAACCAACAGGGAUUGCCUCAGUAACG